rnacentral:lncRNA from 1 species
GGGGAGAAACCACUGGGAUGGAUCAACUGAGGGAUGAACUGGGAGGGAUCCACCGGGGAUCCUCUCGGGGAUUUGUUGGGGAUCCCUUGGGGGGAUCCACUGAGGGAUCCACUGAGGGAUCCACAGAGGGAUCCGUGCCCUCCCCUCCCCCAGGGCCACGGGGUGCUGGAGAUGCCAUCGGGGACGGGCAAGACGGUGUCGCUGCUGUCGCUGAUCAUCGCCUACCAGCGGGCUCACCCCCUGGACGUGUCCAAGCUGAUUUACUGCUCCCGCACCGUGCCCGAGAUCGAGAAGGUCAGCGGGGGGUGGGGGAGGGAUCCCUGGGGUGGAUUCUCAGGGUGGAUCCCUUGGAUGGAUCCCACAGGGUGGAUUCUCGGGGUGGAUCCCUUGGAUGGAUCCCUCGGGGUGGAUUCUCGGGGUGGAUCCCUGUGUUGGUUCCUCAGGGUGGGUCCCCCUGCGUGGAUCCCUGGGGUGGAUCCCUUGCAGUGGAUUCCUGGGCUGGAUCCCUCAGGGUUGAUCCCUGGGGUGGAUUCCUGCGUGUGUCUUGUUAUGG